rnacentral:rRNA from 1 species
UACAGAGACUGCAAGCGUUAUUCGGAUUCACUGGGCGUAAAAGGGUGCGCAGGCGGUUGGGUGUGUCAGAUGUGAAAUCCCGAGGCUCAACCUCGGAACUGCGUCUGAAACUACUCGACUAGAGUACUGGAGAGGGUAACGGAAUUCACGGUGUAGCAGUGAAAAUGCGUAGAUAUCGUGAGGAACACCAGAGGCGAAGGCGGUUACCUGGACAGUUACUGACGCUCAGGCACGAAAGCAUGGGGGAGCAAAAGGG